AUGAACGCUAGCGACAGGCUUAACACAUGCAAGUCGAGGGGCUAGCACAGGUAGCAAUACCGGGUGGCGACCGGCGCACGGGUGAGUAACGCGUAUGCAACUUACCUAUCAGAGGGGGAUAACCCGGCGAAAGUCGGACUAAUACCGCAUGAAGCAGGGGCCCCGCAUGGGGAUAUUUGCUAAAGAUUCAUCGCUGAUAGAUAGGCAUGCGUUCCAUUAGGCAGUUGGCGGGGUAACGGCCCACCAAACCGACGAUGGAUAGGGGUUCUGAGAGGAAGGUCCCCCACAUUGGUACUGAGACACGGACCAAACUCCUACGGGAGGCAGCAGUGAGGAAUAUUGGUCAAUGGCCGAGAGGCUGAACCAGCCAAGUCGCGUGAGGGAUGAAGGUUCUAUGGAUCGUAAACCUCUUUUAUAAGGGAAUAAAGUGCGGGACGUGUCCCGUUUUGUAUGUACCUUAUGAAUAAGGAUCGGCUAACUCCGUGCCAGCAGCCGCGGUAAUACGGAGGAUCCGAGCGUUAUCCGGAUUUAUUGGGUUUAAAGGGUGCGUAGGCGGCCUUUUAAGUCAGCGGUGAAAGUCUGUGGCUCAACCAUAGAAUUGCCGUUGAAACUGGGGGGCUUGAGUAUGUUUGAGGCAGGCGGAAUGCGUGGUGUAGCGGUGAAAUGCAUAGAUAUCACGCAGAACCCCGAUUGCGAAGGCAGUCUGCCAAGCCAUUACUGACGCUGAUGCACGAAAGCGUGGGGAUCAAACAGGAUUAGAUACCCUGGUAGUCCACGCAGUAAACGAUGAUCACUAGCUGUUUGCGAUACACUGUAAGCGGCACAGCGAAAGCGUUAAGUGAUCCACCUGGGGAGUGCGCCGGCAACGGUGAAACUCAAAGGAAUUGACGGGGGCCCGCACAAGCGGAGGAACAUGUGGUUUAAUUCGAUGAUACGCGAGGAACCUUACCCGGGUUUGAACGCAUUCGGACCGAGGUGGAAACACCUUUUCUAGCAAUAGCCGUUUGCGAGGUGCUGCAUGGUUGUCGUCAGCUCGUGCCGUGAGGUGUCGGCUUAAGUGCCAUAACGAGCGCAACCCUUGCCACUAGUUACUAACAGGUGAUGCUGAGGACUCUGGUGGGACUGCCAGCGUAAGCUGCGAGGAAGGCGGGGAUGACGUCAAAUCAGCACGGCCCUUACAUCCGGGGCGACACACGUGUUACAAUGGCGUGGACAAAGGGAGGCCACCUGGCGACAGGGAGCGAAUCCCCAAACCACGUCUCAGUUCGGAUCGGAGUCUGCAACCCGACUCCGUGAAGCUGGAUUCGCUAGUAAUCGCGCAUCAGCCAUGGCGCGGUGAAUACGUUCCCGGGCCUUGUACACACCGCCCGUCAAGCCAUGGGAGCCGGGGGUACAUGAAGUCCGUAACCGAAAGGAUCGGCCUAGGGU
rnacentral:rRNA from 1 species